AUGGUGCCUUUUUGCCUGGGUGAAAGAGAGAGCGAGGUGCGUGAAGAAACUGUUAUGGAAAAAUUAAUGACAUGUCAUUACAAUUGCAUGGGGAUAAGUGCAUCUGCACAAAGAUUGCCCACAAAACACCCAGCCCCCUUCAUGGGACUCCAGGAAAUACAAGAGGAGCUCUUCUGCAAAUGGCCUUUGUGGCAUAAGUCACUUAAAUGGGAACAAGGGAUCCAGAUGCGCCUAUUGACAGCAGAUGCUUUCACUUCGCCCUGUUUUAUCCACGAGUCCACCAGUUUCUUGAUGAAAUGUCGCUUUUACUGAUAAAAUCUGAGCUGGAAUAAUUCAGAGAGAGCAAUACAGCAGUCGUGCAUGGCCCCCUAGUCAGCCUCAAGACUCCUCUGGUUACAGAGCAGGAAAUUCUUCCUAGUCUCCCCUCUGUGAAGCUGAUUUAACAACUACAGUCAUACCUCGGGUUGAAUAUGCUUCAUGUGGAGCGUGUUCGAGUUACCCUCCAUGGCAACCCGGAAGUAAUGGAGCGUGUUACUUCCAGGUUUUGCUGCUCGCGCAGGCGCUCAAAAUGACGUCACACGCAUGCGCAGAAGCGGCGAAAAGCAACAUGCGCAGACGUGCUGUCGCUAGUUAUGUUUGCUUCUGGAUGCGAACGGGGCUCCGGAACGGAUCCUGUUCGUAUCCAGAGGUACCACUGUAUUGGUAGGCUAUCCAAGCUGACUUGUCAAUGAAUGAAACAGGCCUGUGACAAUGUAUUCUGGAGUCAAGAUAUUCACCAUUUCAAAAGAACGGCCCAAACUCACCGGGAAAAGGCAACCAGCAAGCAUUGUUGGGUGUCUUGACUGACAGGCACCAAGUCAUACUCUCACAUUUCUGUUGUGGACCACCUCUUUCUGUGACAUUUGUAUGAUAAUUUGGGGUGGUCUUUGGCUAAGGGGUUGGGCAAUUUCUAAAGUCUUUAAAAGUUGUUGUGGGUCCUCUCAACUCCUUGCGAGGGCGGCGAGGGGCGGGGGACUCUGUUGCUGCAGAAAAUAAAGAUAUUCCUUGCUUUCUUC
rnacentral:lncRNA from 1 species